rnacentral:lncRNA from 1 species
CAAAAUGAAAUGACAAAUACACACUGGAAAAUAACUAAAAUUACACUAAUAGUUCAACUAAAGAAUUUCAGUGUAAUAUCCACUGAAAAAUGCACUAUAGAAAAUCUUUAUGUGCACUAAGAAUUACAAUGUAAAAUCCACUAAAAUUACACUGUAAAUACCGCUAAAAAUACACUUCCAAUCCAAAUAAUUUGUACUAAAUAAUUACACUAAGCAUUUCAGUGUAAAUCCACUAAGAAAAACAUUGUAAAUCCAGUAGGAAUUACAAUGUAAAUCCACUUAGAAUUACAGUGGAAACCCACUAGGAAAAACACUGUAAAUCCAGUAGUAAUUACAGUGUAAAUCCACUUGGAAUUACACUGGAUAUCCACUAAGAAAAACACUGUAAAUCCAGUAGGAAUUACAAUGUAAAUCCACUUAUGGGUCCACACCAGAGAGGGCAAUUCCUCCAUGAUCUGGGACACAAAUCUGGCUGGAGAUGCAGAAAAAACACAGGUAAACACCCCCCCUCUUAUGCAUUCACUCCUCCAAGAUCUCUCUCCUACCUCAUGACAUCUGAAAGAAAAACAAGCUCCCUGUGAGGAUCAUUAACAUAUGCUGAAGAACACAACUUAACAGAACAAAGAUUAGAACACAGGCAGAAAAGAUAGCAUGGAGCAGGAGAAACUCUAGGAACAACUAGACUAUGAACACAUAUGAAUUACUAGUUUAUGGUCACAGGAAUAACACUUCUGGAACACUAGAUUCUGAAAACUAGUUGCAAAAUUAGUGCUCAGAAAUUCGCAGCUAUAGCUACAACACAGGGCCAAGAAAAGUUUGGGGAUGAGAGGGGGGGCAUGAGGAAGCUAUGAAUUCCAUUUAGGAAAAACUUGUUCAAACAAAAAGAGUAGUACUGCUGUAAUUUCAGAAGUUUGGUGCUGAGAAACUGUACAUUGUUCGGAUACUUUUGAUCAUGUUUGGACACUUGUAUCUGUGAAUCUAUGACUGUAUUUUAGACAUGGCAGAUUAGAUUUCAGUAUAAAGCUGUGAACAUAUGACUGUAUUUUAGAAACAAUGGUACUGUCCAAAGUUGUAGUUCAAAUUACUAUGAUCUGAUACUAGUUCACACUCAAUCUAAUAUGCCAUGAAAAUUAACAGUGAAAGUAAAAUUAUCAGAAAAAAAGACUGAGGACAAUCAGGUUAAGCACUGACACUCUGCACCCUACCUUGUAAAUUACAAGCUCUGAUUUGCACAUAAAUAGAAGAAAUCAGAAACUUGUGUAUGAAGAGACUACUGGAAUUGACACAAAUAACUCUGGCUUCAAAGAAAAAAUUGUACAAAAAACCUUGUCAAUGACUUGCAACAUGCUUUACUGCAUUUCUUACCUACUUGUUGCACCCUACAUAUGCAUAAACAUGCAUACAUGCAAAAAAAGGACAAAUGGGGACAUCAGAAAUACUCUUGUUUAUUCUACAACACUUCAUUACCUAUACUUUCUGAAAACAUUGAGUGCAGAUGCCUGCAAUCGAAUCAGAUGCAAUAGAAUAUAGCAUCAAAGGGCAGUCGCUGUACCUCGAAGAGAGUAUGACAAAUGCACUGUUCAAAAGGGGAGUGGGGGCUAAAUUCAGUGCAACAAGCUUCCUAAGAGAGUAUGACAGGAUAAUAGAAGUCAUUCAUGAGAGAAAGCAAGAAUGUGAUCACUUGUCUAGAAACAAAAAGGAUGCGCCCAAGAAGUUCUGGUCCAAAUACAGUAUAGAACGACAAGUGUAUGAGCUCUACAACAUUCGCAUCUUCAGGAAGUUCUGAAAGAAAAUGGAAGAUACAACGAGGUUGCAUGUGUUUGAGCUUGAAAAAGAAAAAAAAACUACAUGGUUAAAAACGAAAGAACCUACAUGAGAUAGAUUUGAUGCAAGAGAAAGUACUCAUGCAUGAUGGAUCUGCUGCACAUUUCACAAGGAUGGAAUCCUAUCCUGACACAUACUCAGAGUGAUGAUCCAACUGAACGUAGAGAGGAUACCUGACAAGUAUAUCAUAGACAAAUGAAGGAAAAAUGAUCACAUGGUACACUCAACCAAGCCUCCUCCCAUUUUUGAUGAAAACUCAACACUGAUGUACAAUGUGCUGAAAAGGAAACUCGUCUAUGUGGCUUCUCUGAACAAUUUACAAUGCCAUCAGGAGGAAUAACAAGGGGUCCCUGCUCACAAGGCUUAUAUGACAUAAAUGUGAUAAAAAAUUUACAGUAGAAUUACACUGCAAUUUAGCUUGGAAAAAUAUAGUACAUAGACUGCAAGAACAAAAUUCAGGAUAAUUACACUUAAUACACAGGUUAAACACUGAGUGUAAUUACAUUGCAAAUUACACUGAAUUUAUAGUGUAAUUACAAUGCAAUUUAGACUGAAAAAUUUUAGUACACAUACUAUAACUACAAAAAAAUAGGUUAAUUACACUGAAAAUUACAGUGUAUUUACAUUGCAAAUUAGACUGGAAAGUUUCAGUGCAUAGACUGUAAGUACAAAAAUUCAGGUUAAUUACACAUAAUAAACAGAUAAUUACACUGAAAGUACAACGUAAUUACACUGCAAGUUAGACCGGAAAGACUGUAAGUACAAAAAUUACAGGUUAGCUACACUAAUUUAUAGUGUAAAUUAAUGGUGGGGUUAAGCCCUCAGUUUAACACAGAUUGCAAGUUACAAGAAACAAAUUACUGUGAGAGAAAAGACUAUAUACCUGAACCAACAGUACAAAAUAUCACUGUAAAUUUGAACCAAAAACUGGACUACAAAUGAAACUAUACUGAAAAUCCACUCAAAAUUACACUAGAAAUUACAGUCCAAAACACUGAAACUAAAACAGAAUUAUUUCAGACCAACACGUACACAUCACGAGACUCAACCGACUAGAAGAGUCAACAUUUGCAUGUCUACAUCUAUGAUCAUUAAAUUACUUUCUCUAUGUACUGAAAAGUUCAGUUAACGUACCACCAUGUAAACAAAAGUAUAAAACAAUGGAAGCACACAAUUCAGUUAAAUGUACCACCAUGUACAGUGUAAGUUACACAUAGAUAUCAGUGAAAUUUAAAUAGAGAUAUCACUAUAGUACAGACCAAACAACUGUUGCUUAAUUGAAGAAAUUCAGUCCAGAAUAAAACCUAAAAAGUACAUUUACGCUUGCCAUUUACAGUGAAAAACCAGUGUAAGAUAGACUACUAUAGACUGAAACUACAGUAGAAAUAUCACUGUAAAAUUAAACCUAAUAUUACAUUUACACUGGCCAUUCACUAUUGCUGUCUAUAGUAGCCAAACAACUGUUACUUAAUUACAGUGAAAUCCACUCAAAAUUACACUGCAAUAGUACAGACCAAAUAACUAUUACUUAAUUGUAGAAAUUCAGUCCAGAAUCAAACAACAGAGGAAAAGCGGAGCAACCAUACAUCUACAUCAGAAAUUACACUAGAAAACCACACAUCUACAUCAAAAACAGGCUAGACCAGACGAACAUCAACCUACCACACUAGCAGCUACCAAUGGAUCAACACCGCUAAUUCAAAGCCUGCCACAAGGAAACUACAUCUACAUUCGGAAGAAGAAAUCAAAAUAGACAAGAGGGAUCCACCGCUAAAUUUACAUGUGCAACAAAAAAUACCACAUACGAAAAAUGCAAGUAGAAGAAUACAACGAGACAAUCAACCAGAUCUAGCAAAUCGCACAGAAAAACGAAGGGAAAAUGGAACAGGGGGAGAGGGGGUGCUUGCAAACCAACAACCUCAGGUAGGGGGCGGGGAGAGACGCAGGGCUUGCGGACCACCACAAAAGAAGGAGCGGCACGAAUCAAAGACCCGAGAAGAAACCGCAGCCAAAUCGCCAUGGCGUCGACUUCGCCUCUCCCUUUCUCC